GCUACACCUAUGGGGUGCUACGGCUGAGAUCAUACCCAUUGAACCUGUUCAGAUAAUGCUGACGAAGGGAUAUAUAUGUCAGAAAAU
rnacentral:ncRNA from 2 species